ensembl:lncRNA
GUGGAACUGACAUUCACAAAGCAGACCAACUGCAGGGAGUCGCUACGUCAAACACACACUUGGCUGUGUUUGAUUCCGGAGGCCUGGCGUCGCUGCCGGCACCUGGGCGGGUCCGAUCGGCUCUUUUAAUGACCCUCCUGGGAACCCUUACCUGAUGGGCCGGCUUCUGCCCAACGUGUCCAGGUGCGGCAACAUAAGCAUUUCAUUAAAAAUUGAAGGCAGCGUUUUUGCAGAGGAGGUCUCCAGUCGGCCGAGGAAAAGGACGGCGAAGGGAAGAAAAAAAACAAAGAAAUGUUCUGGCACGCGUCCAACGCUCCAGUCAAUCUGAGCUCCUUCUCCUUCUUGUCUGUCUCAUUUCCUCUCUCCCCGUCUCGCUCCCUUCUGUCUCCCCCUCCUCCCUAUAAUCACACUCUGACUUUACUUGACCUUUCUGUGGCUAAUUAGUCGGCUUGUGGAAAAGGAUGGCGCGUAGCGUAUCUCUGGCAACGGGGGCGAUGAUGAUGAUGAUGAUGAUGAUGAUGCCGAUGCUCUGGUCUUUUCUACAACAUGUAAAUGCGCUGGCGUAUAAUCCAAGGAGGUCUUUUUUUCAAACUCUUUAAAGACACAAAGUAUAAAAUUGCGUUGGCCUCAGUAUUGCCGGCACAACGGUACGUUCAACUUCAGAAGCUACGAAAACAAGCUUCAUUAAAACUGAAUUCCUGAUGUAGCUGUUUGGACUCAGAAAUAAUUAAAAUAAUGCGACUUGUUUGUCUCGCGGGGGAAAUCACAGUCGGUCGCGUUAGUCGCUGCGUGUGGGUGGAAAAGCAUUGGGAAAUAUUUGAGUUUUUAUGACUUUAUUGGUGUCAAAUGUGUUGUUCGGCUGCAGUGCAGACGUGCAGUUGAAAACACUUUGCCACGCGUGUGUGUGUGUGUGUGUAUGUGUGUGUGCUCAGAGUGAUUCCUGUGUGAUGGACUGCGUGUCUGAUGUCACGGCGUCUGCUCACUCCUUAUUACAACUUGCAUAUGCUGUUCUGAGAUGAAUAAUUGAUCUCGCUUUAGUUGGGAAAAGGGAACAUUUGGGAACACUUCAAUCAGGUUGCUGUGGAUCGGGAUUUACUCACAAUAAUCAUCUGUUUCAGUAGCGCCGUUAUUAAUGAUACUAUUAUCUUUGUGUGAGUGGCAACAUAUCAUUUAUUAUAAUACAGGUGUUUAUAAGAUGUUUGUACAUUUAAACAUGUUGUUCUUCUGCAGCAGGCACGGUAAAGGAUACAUGAUACCCAUAAUGCAUCACAAACAUUCUUCUAAAGCCUGAUAAUCUCUUGGUAGCGCUGUACCAUUAUAGUCAGUCCCAUUUAUUAUUCAGAAUACUUUGUAACCAUAUUUUUAUAAUAAUUAAUAAGGUCAUUAACAUUUCUAAAUAUAAGGUCAAAAAUCCCAGGUCUCAAAUCCUAUCUAUUUAUAAUCCUAAUGCGAUUAAUAGACCAUUUAACACUAUUUAUAAUAUCAUAUUCAUAUUCCUAUCGGGAUUUAGAAUCGCUGUGAUUUCAAAGCGAAUCACACGGUUUCACUUUUUAGUUUUCAUGUGAAGUUUAUCGUAAUUACAGAAAUGGGAUUGUUAGCUCUGCUUAGAUAUUAGUUCAUUUUUAGUACUGCACUGAAAUACCAUUUUAGCAAUAAUAAAUAUGCACGUAUUACCUACAGUGCUGUUUUCUGUCUGUGAAUCACGGGUUUAAUAUGCAUGAAUUAAUAUGUAUCAGCG